rnacentral:rRNA from 1 species
UUGAACGCUGGCGGCAUGCUUUACACAUGCAAGUCGAACGGUAACAGGCCUUCGGGUGCUGACGAGUGGCGACCGGGUGAGUAAUGCAUCGGAACGUACCCAGAGGUGGGGGAUAACGCAGCGAAAGCUGUGCUAAUACUGCAUGUGAUCUGAGGAUGAAAGCGGGGGACCGAGCAGCAAUGUUUGGCCUCGCGCCUUUGGAGCGGCCGAUGUCGGAUUAGCUAGUUGGUGGGGUAAAGGCCUACCAAGGCGACGAUCCGUAGCUGGUCUGAGAGGACGACCAGCCACACUGGGACUGAGACACGGCCCAGACUCCUACGGGAGGCAGCAGUGGGGAAUUUUGGACAAUGGGCGCAAGCCUGAUCCAGCAAUGCCGCGUGCGGGAAGAAGGCCUUCGGGUUGUAAACCGCUUUUGGCAGGAACGAAACGGUGUCCGCUAAUACCGGGCGCUAAUGACGGUACCUGCAGAAUAAGCACCGGCUAACUACGUG